UAGCCCAUCGAACGAUGAAGCCCUUCGGGGUGGAUUAGUGGCGAACGGGUGAGUAACACGUGGGCAAUCUGCCCUUCACUCUGGGACAAGCCCUGGAAACGGGGUCUAAUACCGGAUAACACCGGCUUCCGCAUGGAAGCUGGUUAAAAGCUCCGGCGGUGAAGGAUGAGCCCGCGGCCUAUCAGCUUGUUGGUGGGGUAAUGGCCUACCAAGGCGACGACGGGUAGCCGGCCUGAGAGGGCGACCGGCCACACUGGGACUGAGACACGGCCCAGACUCGUACGGGAGGCAGCAGUGGGGAAUAUUGCACAAUGGGCGAAAGCCUGAUGCAGCGACGCCGCGUGAGGGAUGACGGCCUUCGGGUUGUAACA
rnacentral:rRNA from 1 species